rnacentral:miRNA from 1 species
UUUGGAUCUUGAUAAUUGUUGG